rnacentral:lncRNA from 11 species
ACUGGAAAUCAAAAUGCAAAAAACUGAGGAGAUGAUAGAGAAGUGCCCUAAAGCAUUAUCUACAAUUUCAGGCAUCCACAGGGGUCUUGGAACACAUCCCCACAGAUACAGUGGUUUUACUGUGGAUAUACUGUAUAUAUAGAUAUAACAAUUCCAUUAUAAAUGCCUCUAAAAAGACCUUUAAAUGUCACCUUUAAAGGUAACUAAAAACACUGGCUGAGAUUCUACAUCAUAGAUAAACAUGCCCUAACACCCAGUAGUCACACUGAACAACAUAGACCUGUUCUGCUGGUGACUGAGGCACAGAAGGAUGAGGUUUCCAGCCCACUCCCACCAGCAAUCUGCAGAGUAACAGCUGUUGUGACAGAGGCCUGCUUCUGAGAGUCGCACCACAAUUCACUGGCAGGAGGGGCUGGAAAUGUCAUCCUGCUGCACCCAAAUCACCAGCAAAUCAGACGUCCUACACUGGUGCAGUCGCUGGCUGUUAAGAACAGUGCUGGAGAAUGGAAAACGAAUAUCCAGUGGUUAUUUUGGGAACCCUUGGCAUUUUCCUGCUGUAGAUCCCUUGGGAAUCCCAAUAAAAGAACAAUGAAAAUAUACCUGCGCUACACCCUAAAAUGUUCCCAAUAUUACAAAUGAAGUGAAAAAAGACAUUAAUAUCAUAGUGGUAUUAAACCAUAGUAGGAUGGGAGAACAUUAACAGAUUAUUUCAAGUGGAAAAACAAUUAAUUUCCAAAUGACCCAGCAAUGGUACGGCACAGGAAAAGCCACAAUAUGCAAUAACUUCUCAUCAAAAAUAAAACUAACACAGUUAGUAACAAUGUGGAAUUACCAUACGACAGUGUUGUCCGAUGAGCUUCCAAAACUAGAGGGGCUUUAAUUGGGAAUUGGUUGGAUGAAGCAAGAAGCCAGUAAGUGACUUAAAUCAAGAUAGGUUUAACAUGUGUACUGGGGGCAAGAGUGAUUGAUGUCAUGAGGACAAGCAACAGAAUGAGCAUUCCAAGACAUUCUACAUUUUCAGAAUCAACGCUUUUGCAUGAAAGAGUCUUAGCACAAGAGAAAGGAAAUUUGCUCCAUCAUCUAUGUGAACCUUGUUGAGAUAUUCAAAGAUGGCUAUCAUGUUGUCUCAGCAGGAGUUCUGGGGUUCGAUGUCAUCUGUACGCAGAUGACACACAACUCUACUACUCAUUUCCACCAAAGUCCAAGGAAACUUCCCAUAUCCUGAACCAGUGUGAUGGGCUGGAUGAGGGCUUAAAAUUGAAGCUUAAUCCAGACAAGAUAGAGGCUCUCCUGGUCAGUUGUGAGGUCGAUUGGGGUAUACAGUGGCAACCUGUGCUCGACAGGGUUACACUCCCCCUGAGAACAUAGAACCACAGUCUGGAUUACUGUAAUGCACUCUACAUGGGGCUGUCUCUGAAGAUGGGUCAGAAGCCUCAAUUAGUACAAAGAUCUGCAGCCAGGCUACUGACUGGGGUGGGUCACAGAGAACACAAGACGCCCCUCGUGAAGCAGCUACAUUGGUUGCCUAUUUGCUUCUGGGCCUAAUUCAGAAUGCAGGUUAUUACCUACAGUAUAAAGCCCUAUAUGGUUUGGGUCCUGCCUAAUUACGCAACCGCAUCUCCCUUUAUGAACCUGGGGGAGCCCUCCUCUCAAUCCUGCCUUCAUCACAAGCGAGGUUGGUGGGGACGAGGGAGACAGCUUUCUCAAUAGUGGCCCCCUGGCUCAGGAACACCCUCCCCAGGAAGAUCAGACAAGGAACCACCCUCAUGACUUUCAAGAAGGACUUAAAGACUUGGCUAUUUAAGCAAGCCUUUGAAAACGAUUAGUAACCCUUAAUGUGGAUGAGGUCUUUAUUUUUAUGGAUACACAUAGAGCACUGAGACUUUUAAUUAAUUUAGUUAAUCUGUUGGAACUAUUUUGUUUUAAAAUGUAUUUAAUGUUUUUACAGUUUAUUGUUUGUUAUUUUGUUUUAUUAGUUUUCCUUAUUAAUUUGUAAUUUACUUUGUAUAUCUUGUUUAUUGCGUUUUACUUAUGUUGUAAGCCACCCUGAGUCCUUUCGGGGAGAUGGGGUGGGAUAGAAAUAAAGAUUAUUAUUAUUAUAUUAUUAUUUUGAUUAUGGUAGACAAAGGACUUCAUCUCCAGACUUUUUCCUAUCUUUGUCACCUUCCUUAUUCCAAGACAAU